rnacentral:rRNA from 1 species
GAUGAACGCUAGCGGCAGGCCUAAUACAUGCAAGUCGAACGGUGUAGCAAUACACAGUGGCGCACGGGUGCGUAACGCGUAUACAACCUACCUUCAAGAGGGGGAUAACCCGGAGAAAUUCGGGAUAAUACCGCAUAAUAUGUUAGAGACGCAUGUUGAAGACAUUAAAGAUUUAUUGCUUGAAGAUGGGUAUGCGUCUGAUUAGUUAGUUGGUAGGGUAACGGCCUACCAAGACGAUGAUCAGUAGGGGUUCUGAGAGGAAGGUCCCCCACACUGGCACUGAGAUACGGGCCAGACUCCUACGGGAGGCAGCAGUAGGGAAUAUUGGGCAAUGGUCGGAAGACUGACCCAGCCAUGCCGCGUGAAGGAAGAAGGGUCUACGACUUGUAAACUUCUUUAGCCAGGGAAGAAAAAGGGAGUGCGCUCCCAAUUGACGGUACCUGGAGAAUAAGCACCGGCUAACUACGUG